GCUAACUUGGCCGAGUGGUUAAGGCGCUGUGUUUAGGCCGCAGUGGGAAACCGCGGAGGUUCGAACCCUCCAGUUAGCA